CACUAAGCGGAUGUGCAACGACUAGUUACCGGUAAAAUUUGUAUCACGUAAUUUAAAAACUCGCUGAAAUGAUUACUAUUUACAGUAAAAAAAAAACGAAUUACAAUUACCCGACAAUUCACGGCGUGCGUGUUGGAUAAUGUGAAAAGAAAUAUUCUGAAAGCCCAAUAAAUGAAAUGCAAAAAAUUUUAUUUCAAGUUGAAAUAUUUUCUUGAAUUGUAAAAAAUAAAUGAAAAUUCAAAAUUUGUUGAAGUGAAUGUGUAUAUAUGAAUAUAUAUUAUAUAUAAAUUGAGUUAAUUUAGUGAAGGCUAAAAUUGAUAUAGUGGAUUAAGAAAAAUUAAAUGCUUAAAUAUUUUAAAAAUCAAAUUCAAUUUAUUAAAAAUGAAAAAGUGUGUGCUAGUUCAACUCUAACUUAGCAACUGCUUUUAAUUUUCUGCGGCAGUGAAGGCGUAACAGUUUUUAGAUGAACGAUUAUUUCGGAGACGCUAACCACUAACUCACAAGCGGAAAAUUGUUAGAGAAGUAACCCAAUAGGUGAAAUGACCCAAAAAAAUACACACGGAGUGGCAAAUAAAGUGUGAAAAUUUAAGAAACAGGACGGAAGGCUAAAGCACGGAUAAAUUUCCAGCUGAAAAAAGGCUCGCCUUAGAUUUGCAAUAAGUACGAUUUAUCGGCUAUAAAAGCAAAACGGAAGCGAACAUUGAACUCGCAUGUCCCUUACAUAGAAUAUGUAACAGCCAAACCAAACUUCUAGAGGAAGCAAAAAGAUCCAGUGUAUAACAGCACUGAAUAAUGCAAAUAAAUUUCAGCGGAUUGUGACUACAUCGUGUUUUAAUGUAAUCCAAGGUCAACCACGUGAAUUUUUGAAGUCAUUCAUCCGUUCCAGCUAACUGAUUAUGAAAUGUAUAUGUAAAACGGCUGCACUUCUGCUUUGUGUCAUCCCUAUGACUGAUUUUAUUCGUAAUAUUGGUACGACUGAUAAAACUUGAAUACACUUGAAGACAUAACUACAUUGCCUGUCUAAAUCGUGGCUCACAAAACAUACUGCAUCAUAUCGUAGACAUUGGUGUAUUAUAUAAUACGAAUUUUUAAUCAGUAUAUGUAUGUAACAAAUAAUAAAGGAAUGACAAAGCCUUGCAGCCAUGUUACAGUGAAAUUGAUUGUGAUAGUUAUAUGCUAGUUCAACUUGUGGAGCUUGGAAUGACUUAAAAUUUAUAUUCAAUAAAAUAAAAUUGAAAAACUCAAAGUUUGUGUUGUUUAAUAUUUGUUGUAAGUUCAAACGUUUACUCAAAAUAGGAAGGUCUAUGAACAACGUGAGAUGUGGAUGGUUGUUGUGUAAGCGCUUGCAAUAUUUUGGCUACCAGUAAAUAUGAAUAACCUUUCACAAGCAACAAAGUGUAAAAGGAAUAACACAGCCAAGUGACCCGAAGAAAUACACACAAAGUGGCAAAUAAAUUGUGGAAAAUUGAAAAAAAAGGACGUACAGCUAAAUCCCAGAAAAAAUUUGAAUGGAAAAAGAGUCGACACACAUUUGCAAAAAGUAUCAAUUAUCGGUUAUAGAAGCAAAAUGGAAUUGAAAUUUAAUUCGCAAGUACCAUACGCCUACAUAGAAUAUGUAACACCCAAACCAAACUUCUGCCAGAGGUACAAGGACCCAAUCACAGUCAUGUCUAUAGUUUAUUUGGACUCUUGUAGCAUCGUUUAUACCAGCCCUGAACAAUGCCAAUCAAUGUAACAGAUUGGCGCAACAUCGCAUUGCAACCCUCAACCACGUGAAUUGUUGAAUUCAUAGGUUCUUUCCAGCUAAAUGAGGUGUGAUCACUACGACUGAUUGGAUUUCUGAUACUGAUACGAUUGAUAAAAUUUGAAUACAUACACUUGAAGGCAUAACUACGUUGGUAGUCUUAAUCUUGGCUGACAAAACAUACAGAAUCAUAUCGAAGACAUUCGUGUAUUAUGUAAUACAUAUUCUUAAUGAGUAUAUUUAUGCAAAAAAUAAUAAGCGAAUCACCUUGCAGCCAGGUUACAGCGAAAUAGAUUGAGACAUUUAUAUGCUAAUUUAAAUUUCGCUUUCUGGGAGUGACUUAAAAUCUAUACUUAUUAAAAUAAAAUUGAAAAUCCGAA
rnacentral:lncRNA from 1 species